AUAGUGGCGCACGGGUGCGUAACACGUAUGCAACCUACCUUAUACUGGGGGAUAGCCUUUGGAAACGGAGAUUAAUACCCCAUAGUACAUUUGAUUGGCAUCAAUUAAAUGUUAAAGAUUUAUCGGUACAAGCUGGGCAUGCGUCCAAUUAGUUAGUUGGUGAGGUAAUGGCUCACCAAGACUUUGAUUGGUAGGGGAACUGAGAGGUUAAUCCCCCACACUGGCACUGAGAUACGGGCCAGACUCCUACGGGAGGCAGCAGUAGGGAAUAUUGGGCAAUGGAGGCAACUCUGACCCAGCCAUGCCGCGUGCAGGAAGAAGGCGUUAUGCGUUGUAAACUGCUUUUAUAUAGGAAGAAAUAGUCCUUGCGAGGAAAGUUGACGGUACUAUAUGAAUAAGCACCGGCUAACUCCGUGCCAGCAGCCGCGGUAAUACGGAGGGUGCAAGCGUUGUCCGGAUUUAUUGGGUUUAAAGGGUGCGUAGGCGGUUUAUUAAGUCAGUGGUGAAAGACGGUCGCUCAACGAUUGCAGUGCCAUUGAUACUGGUAGACUUGAGUGGGAUUGAGGUAGCUGGAAUGGAUAGUGUAGCGGUGAAAUGCAUAGAUAUUAUCCAGAACACCAAUUGCGUAGGCAAGUUACUAAGUCUCAACUGACGCUGAG
rnacentral:rRNA from 1 species